rnacentral:rRNA from 1 species
AGUGAACGCUGGCGGUAGGCCUAACACAUGCAAGUCGAACGGCAGCACAGUAAGAGCUUGCUCUUACGGGUGGCGAGUGGCGGACGGGUGAGGAAUACAUCGGAAUCUACUUUUUCGUGGGGGAUAACGUUGGGAAACUUACGCUAAUACCGCAUACGACCUGCGGGUGAAAGCAGGGGAUCUUCGGACCUUGCGCGAUUGAAUGAGCCGAUGUCGGAUUAGCUAGUUGGCGGGGUAAAGGCCCACCAAGGCGACGAUCCGUAGCUGGUCUGAGAGGAUGAUCAGCCACACUGGAACUGAGACACGGUCCAGACUCCUACGGGAGGCAGCAGUGGGGAAUAUUGGACAAUGGGCGCAAGCCUGAUCCAGCCAUACCGCGUGGGUGAAGAAGGCCUUCGGGUUGUAAAGCCCUUUUGUUGGGAAAGAAAAGCAGCAGGUUAAUACCCCGCUGUUCUGACGGUACCCAAAGAAUAAGCACCGGCUAACUUCGUG